GGUUAAGCGACUAAGCGUACACGGUGGAUGCCCUGGCAGUCAGAGGCGAUGAAGGGCGUGCUAAUCUGCGAUAAGCGCCGGUAAGGUGAUAUGAACCGUUAUAACCGGCGAUACCCGAAUGGGGAAACCCAGUGUGAUUCGUCACACUAUCAUUAACUGAAUCCAUAGGUUAAUGAGGCGAACCGGGGGAACUGAAACAUCUAAGUACCCCGAGGAAAAGAAAUCAACCGAGAUUCCCCCAGUAGCGGCGAGCGAACGGGGAGGAGCCCAGAGCCUGAAUCAGCAUGUGUGUUAGUGGAAGCGUCUGGAAAGGCGCGCGAUACAGGGUGACAGCCCCGUACACAAAAGCGCAUGUGCUGUGAGCUCGAUGAGUAGGGCGGGACACGUGGUAUCCUGUCUGAAUAUGGGGGGACCAUCCUCCAAGGCUAAAUACUCCUGACUGACCGAUAGUGAACCAGUACCGUGAGGGAAAGGCGAAAAGAACCCCGGCGAGGGGAGUGAAAAAGAACCUGAAACCGUGUACGUACAAGCAGUGGGAGCCUCUUUUAUGGGGUGACUGCGUACCUUUUGUAUAAUGGGUCAGCGACUUAUAUUCUGUAGCAAGGUUAACCGAAUAGGGGAGCCGGAGGGAAACCGAGUCUUAACCGGGCGUUAAGUUGCAGGGUAUAGACCCGAAACCCGGUGAUCUAGCCAUGGGCAGGUUGAAGGUUGGGUAACACUAACUGGAGGACCGAACCGACUAAUGUUGAAAAAUUAGCGGAUGACCUGUGGCUGGGGGUGAAAGGCCAAUCAAACCGGGAGAUAGCUGGUUCUCCCCGAAAGCUAUUUAGGUAGCGCCUCGUGAAUUCAUCUCCGGGGGUAGAGCACUGUUUCGGCUAGGGGGCCAUCCCGGCUUACCAACCCGAUGCAAACUGCGAAUACCGGAGAAUGUUAUCACGGGAGACACACGGCGGGUGCUAACGUCCGUCGUGAAGAGGGAAACAACCCAGACCGCCAGCUAAGGUCCCAAAGUCAUGGUUAAGUGGGAAACGAUGUGGGAAGGCCCAGACAGCCAGGAUGUUGGCUUAGAAGCAGCCAUCAUUUAAAGAAAGCGUAAUAGCUCACUGGUCGAGUCGGCCUGCGCGGAAGAUGUAACGGGGCUAAACCAUGCACCGAAGCUGCGGCAGCGAACGUAUCACUUAAAGCGAUUCAGCGGGUUACGAUUGACGGAGCGAAGCGACGUCAAAGCGUAUACAAAGUCGAGUCGGUUUAAGGAUACGUUCGUUGGGUAGGGGAGCGUUCUGUAAGCCUGCGAAGGUGGCCUGUGAGGGUUGCUGGAGGUAUCAGAAGUGCGAAUGCUGACAUAAGUAACGAUAAAGCGGGUGAAAAGCCCGCUCGCCGGAAGACCAAGGGUUCCUGUCCAACGUUAAUCGGGGCAGGGUGAGUCGACCCCUAAGGCGAGGCCGAAAGGCGUAGUCGAUGGGAAACGGGUUAAUAUUCCCGUACUUGGUGUUACUGCGAAGGGGGGACGGAGAAGGCUAUGUUGGCCGGGCGACGGUUGUCCCGGUUUAAGCGUGUAGGUGUGUGUUCCAGGUAAAUCCGGUUCACUUUAACACUGAGGCGUGAUGACGAGGCACUACGGUGCUGAAGCAACAAAUGCCCUGCUUCCAGGAAAAGCCUCUAAGCAUCAGGUAACAUCAAAUCGUACCCCAAACCGACACAGGUGGUCAGGUAGAGAAUACCAAGGCGCUUGAGAGAACUCGGGUGAAGGAACUAGGCAAAAUGGUGCCGUAACUUCGGGAGAAGGCACGCUGACACGUAGGUGAAGUGAUUUACUCACGGAGCUGAAGUCAGUCGAAGAUACCAGCUGGCUGCAACUGUUUAUUAAAAACACAGCACUGUGCAAACACGAAAGUGGACGUAUACGGUGUGACGCCUGCCCGGUGCCGGAAGGUUAAUUGAUGGGGUCAGCGCAAGCGAAGCUCCUGAUCGAAGCCCCGGUAAACGGCGGCCGUAACUAUAACGGUCCUAAGGUAGCGAAAUUCCUUGUCGGGUAAGUUCCGACCUGCACGAAUGGCGUAAUGAUGGCCAGGCUGUCUCCACCCGAGACUCAGUGAAAUUGAACUCGCUGUGAAGAUGCAGUGUACCCGCGGCAAGACGGAAAGACCCCGUGAACCUUUACUAUAGCUUGACACUGAACAUUGAGCCUUGAUGUGUAGGAUAGGUGGGAGGCUUUGAAGUGUGGACGCCAGUCUGCAUGGAGCCGACCUUGAAAUACCACCCUUUAAUGUUUGAUGUUCUAACGUGGACCCGUGAUCCGGGUUGCGGACAGUGUCUGGUGGGUAGUUUGACUGGGGCGGUCUCCUCCUAAAGAGUAACGGAGGAGCACGAAGGUUGGCUAAUCCUGGUCGGACAUCAGGAGGUUAGUGCAAUGGCAUAAGCCAGCUUGACUGCGAGCGUGACGGCGCGAGCAGGUGCGAAAGCAGGUCAUAGUGAUCCGGUGGUUCUGAAUGGAAGGGCCAUCGCUCAACGGAUAAAAGGUACUCCGGGGAUAACAGGCUGAUACCGCCCAAGAGUUCAUAUCGACGGCGGUGUUUGGCACCUCGAUGUCGGCUCAUCACAUCCUGGGGCUGAAGUAGGUCCCAAGGGUAUGGCUGUUCGCCAUUUAAAGUGGUACGCGAGCUGGGUUUAGAACGUCGUGAGACAGUUCGGUCCCUAUCUGCCGUGGGCGCUGGAGAACUGAGGGGGGCUGCUCCUAGUACGAGAGGACCGGAGUGGACGCAUCACUGGUGUUCGGGUUGUCAUGCCAAUGGCACUGCCCGGUAGCUAAAUGCGGAAGAGAUAAGUGCUGAAAGCAUCUAAGCACGAAACUUGCCCCGAGAUGAGUUCUCCCUGAGACUUAGAGUCUCCUGAAGGAACGUUGAAGACGACGACGUUGAUAGGCCGGGUGUGUAAGCGCAGCGAUGCGUUGAGCUAACCGGUACUAAUGAACCGUGAGGCUUAACCUU
rnacentral:rRNA from 1 species